rnacentral:SRP_RNA from 1 species
ACCAGGUGUGGUGGCAUGCGCCUGUAGUUCCAGCUAUUCAGGAGGCUAGGCAGAAGGAUUGCUGGAGGCCAAGAGCUCUGGAUUGAAGUACACUAUGCUGAUCCGGUGUCUGCACUCAGUUCUAGAUCAAUAUGGUGCCCUCCGGGGAACUGGGUACCACCAGCUUGACUAAAUAGGAGUAAACCAACCCAGAUCAGAAAUGGAGCAGGUCAAAACUCUCGUGCUUAUCAGUAGUAGGAUUGUGCCUGUUAAUAGCCACUACACUCAAGCCUGGGCAAUACAGUGAGACCCCACCUUU